ACGAACGCUGGCGGCGUGCUUAACACCCGCAAGUCGAACGCUGAAGCUUGGUGCUUGCACUGGGUGGAUGAGUGGCGAACGGGUGAGUAAUACGUGAGUAACCUGCCCUUGACUCUGGGAUAAGCCUGGGAAACUGGGUCUAAUACUGGAUACGACAUGCCACUGCAUGGUGGUGUGUGGAAAGGGUUUUACUGGUUUUGGAUGGGCUCACGGCCUAUCAGCUUGUUGGUGGGGUAAUGGCCUACCAAGGCGACGACGGGUAGCCGGCCUGAGAGGGUGACCGGCCACACUGGGACUGAGACACGGCCCAGACUCCUACGGGAGGCAGCAGUGGGGAAUAUUGCACAAUGGGCGGAAGCCUGAUGCAGCGACGCCGCGUGAGGGAUGACGGCCUUCGGGUUGUAAACCUCUUUCAGCACGGAAGAAGCGAGAGUGACGGUACGUGCAGAAGGAGCGCCGGCUAACUACGUG
rnacentral:rRNA from 1 species